CGACAAUCCUUUAUACCUUGUCUACUUGGGGCUUAGCUUUGUAUGGAUUAUACAGGCACCGGGCAGUGUUAAAAAGUUGCGGCAAGGGGUGUGGCUGCAUCGGGCAAAUUCGAUCAUGAAAGCUCUGUAAACAGCCACCAGCCAUUAGUCUAUCGACGAUCCAGCCAACCUCCGGUGAUUGGCCACCGGUCUGCCUGACCUCCGUUGACCGGCCAUUGGCGGUCCUGCUAGCCUUUG